CCUUGUCCAGCCUUGGUUUCUUCAUCUGUAAAAUGGGGUGAUCACAGCACCUACCUCACAGAGGCGUCACAAAGCCCUUUGUGAAUCGGAAGAUCCUGGACAAAGUGUCCCCAAAGUCUUAGCGUGGUUUGAAACUUCAAGAGCUGAAAACUGCCCUCGGGCUUUUGAGAUGCCCUGAAUAUGCUGCCUCUGAACGUGCUGGUGCUGGUGAUGAAGAUGAUGCUGAUAAUGAAGAUGAUGGUGGUGAAGAUGAUGGUGAUGAUGGUGAUGAAGAUGAUGGUGAUGAUGAAGAUAAUGAUGAUGAUUGAUUGGGAAGAGAGGCUACUGACGACUCCAGAGGGCUCCUUAUAGGCAAAAAGACAGAGGACCGGAGGCAGUGGAACUACGAGAUCGUGAAAUCUAAGACCCUUCUUUGCUCUUGGACAUGACCUUCGCUGAUUCGUUACUCAAGACUGAUAAAAUGGCGUCCAGUUCAAGAAGAAACGGGGGCCACCACACUGCCCUAAGGACUGACUCAGAAAGCCACAUAUUAACAUUAUCUUGUGUCCUACUGCACUUGCGCUAUUUUGUUCACUAUUUCCCGAUGGCAUUUUCAGCUGGUGUUGCCGGCAUGGUUGCCAGCUCUGCUCUCGUUUCGGAGAGAAAGAAAUGUUCUCUCCUGGCCCCUCGCACACUCCUCUGCCUUGGGGAGAAACCCAGGCCAGUAUCUCCUCUGGGGCGGCUAGCAGGCAGGGAGGUCUCAUCGUUUCCUGGGCCCAGUGAGUGGGUCUGUGCCCCAAGCCAUCCACCUGUGAGCUGUAGGAACCCGAGGAAGCAAAGAGAGGUGGCUCUCUCUCUUUCGCAGCAGAGACAUGGCUGGUGGCAGUGUGCUGAGCAUCUUGACGUCUUGGCGUGCCUGCAGAUCUUGUGCAGGUUUGGCGGUGAGCAUCUUGGCAUUGCUCAGGGGUCACCUGAAGGCUCUCCAAGAGGGCAGCUGGACACAGACUCUGGACUCUGGGGUCUACAGGAAGUACCCCUGGGCAGCUACAGGACUGUGAGGGCUGAGGAAGGCCAGAGGCAUCGCAUUUACUCUACAGAGACAAAGUUGCUGUCUAAGUGCGGCCCCCUUAGGGAAGGAAAGGAAGGUCUCCUGGAUAGCACAGCUGCUGCCCAGCUCAGAGUGGGCCCUGUGUGGAACUGGACCAGAGAGGCUGGAGUCAAUGAAGAUGCUCUGGAAGAUCCAACCCCCCCUUCAAGGCUUAAUGACAUUCUUGGAAGUCCUCUGGGAACCUUGGAAUGGAGAAAUCAUGGUUGGCUACAGAAAACAAAUGCCCAUGCUCUGGCCCGUCUGGGCCCUGGAGACCUGGGCUGAAAUCCUCAGUCACUCUCAGAGCGGCAAGUACAGCCAGUGUAGACGGAAAUGUCCUUCUUUCUCCCCUCCCCACCAGCAGGGAGCCAAGGGCCUGAAUUCUCCCUUCCACUCUGCCUCCGGGUGGUAGUGGUGGUGGUGGGGUGGCUUUAACAAGAGGGGAGACAGGAUAAAGGGGAAGAGAAGAAGAGCUGACCCUGGGGCUAACGUAAAGGGCAGAGGCCAUGAAAAGGCAAGGAAGAGCCUGAAGGAGGGUUUUUCUCCCUCUUGCACAUGCCUCUCGGCAUGGAAUCAGGGUGGGAAGACAGACUUUCGAAGCCACUCUGGACUGGAGCCGGGCUUCUUUGCUCUGUGUGGCCAGGAGCCUCAGCUACUGAGCCAGGGGAGGCCCAGCUUUGUCAGAGUUAUAUUUUUAAGGAUGUAAAGUGUAGAAUACUUACAGGAUCACAAAGGCCCUGAUGAUGCUGAAAUGGAGUGAGAGAAAACCUCUCGUGGGAGAACACUUGGUCACCCCUGCCCGGUGGCUCAGCUGAUGGAGAGAGCCAGGGGGUGGGGGCAGAGACAAAGGGCCAGAGAGAGGACCAAUGGGCAGGGCCCCCAUUCACACUGAGACUGGCCGGCUCACUAGCAUGGAGCUCCUGGCCACCUCGUCAACCAUUUGGGCCUUUCGUAGUGACCCUUUCUUCUGUACUUCUGGCCGCCAGGUGGGAAAUGUACUCAGCUUGGGGAGGUGGUGGCCACGCUUCCAUCGACGGGCCUCAGAGGUGCUUGGAUGGGGGGAGGGCGCCGCAGGAAUCGGCGUCAGACAAUGGCCCCAAAGUGUCUGGGCCCUUCAGGUCAUGAGUGAGGGUUGCCCGGGUCAGGGAGAACAGAGUCCUCUGUGUGGUAUCAGGAGGCCCAGGGGAGGGAGGCUGAGCCCGAGAGCUCUGGGAUUGGGGAUUUGGGGCAUUUUUCUUUACAGCCCCUCCUCCCGUGGCCCCACAGACCAGGCGCACACCAGACAACCACGGCGGAGUUGCAUCACAGCCUGGGCCGAAGGCCUGCUUUCGUAACAGAGAGUCAAGGAAUUGCAGAGUCAUCCAGUUAUUUAAGCCCAAAGGUCACUUGGACUCAAGUCCCUGCAAUGAACCCUGGUGUCCGAAUUCCAGGGUCAGUCUUUCUUCCUCCUCCUCCGUCCCCCCCCCCCAUUUUCCAAUGUUCAGCCACCACAGAGAGCAGCUAUGAAUAUUCUUGUGCAAGUCUUUCCCUUAUGAUCUCUUUGGGGUACAAAUAAGGCAGGAGAUUUUAGCUGCUCAGACACAGUCAAUAAACACAUAUAAGCCACUCGUCCUGCGCCA
rnacentral:lncRNA from 1 species